rnacentral:rRNA from 1 species
AGACGAAGGUGGCGAGCGUUGUUCGGAGUCACUGGGCUUAAAGAGCACGUAGGCGGUCUGUCAAGCGUCUUGUGAAAGCCCUCGGCUCAACCGGGGAAUUGCUUGGCGAACUGGCAGACUUGAGGCAGGUAGGGGCAGUUGGAACUCUUGGUGGAGCGGUGGAAUGCGUAGAUAUCAAGAGGAACGCCAGAGGCGAAGGCGAACUGCUGGGCCUGUCCUGACGCUGAGGUGCGAAAGCCAGGGGAGCGAACGGGAUUAGAUACCCCGGUAGUCCUGGCCCUAAACGAUGUCCACUAGAUCGAGGAUUCUCUGAAGGAUUCGUGGUCGAAAUGAAAACGUUAAGUGGACCGCCUGGGGAGUACGGUCGCAAGGCUAAA